CUGCAUUCGUCAAUUCCACUGGAUCAAUUGAAAGGGUCGGAAUCUUAGAUGUUGUUCUGGCAUGUAUCGCCAAAGCGUUAACAAUCCAAGUAAAAAGUAAAGGACGUGAUAAAGACGUCUAGUAAAAAUCCCAUUUCUUCUGUGACGAUGGCUAGUAUCUUCAACAACCGACAGCGACCUCAGCGUCAACUUGGAUCUCGCUGGUGGAUGAGAAGCCACAUGCCACGUCGUGUAAGCAUUAUCCAGCUCGUUAGAGAUAUGACAUCGGGUAAUUUGUCUGAAGUAUGGACUGCUGUAACGAAAGCAGGCAUUACGGAAGCUGUCCUUGCGCUUACAAAUUGGAUGAAGAUCGCCGCAGUUCCCUGGAUUGCUUGCAAACACCAUCUGUGUGGUUGACGUUGGCUGCCCUUUGCCUACUGCAAGACGAGCACGUCGAACGUCUCUCAUCAACACAGUGGGAUCGCGGAGCAGUGAACAAACCGCAGUGUAACAAUGACGACGACGGGGAAACAGGGGCACAAAUUGUCUGUUCCGACUGCGGGCCGCUUUGUAUUGAUUGCGAUCGAGUUCUGCAUCUUUCACGCAAAUUUCGCUCCAAUCAGCGUCAGGUUUGCAAAGAGGAAGAAGAAGUUAUCAAAGUCGAUGUUCACGAGGGAUGUGGUCGCGUUAAAUUAUUUUGGAUUUUAGCGCUUUCUGACGCCAGGAACCUCAAGUCUUUGGUUGAGUUUCCGUCUCUUCCGUCUACGUCACUGCCGCUAUACGAACGAAAGUGGAAAUUAUCACGGCUCCUUGAUUGGCGGCGUCGGGGCCUCCUCUUCUUGUCGCUAUUGUAGUUCGGCUAUAUCUCCGUCAUCUGCUUCGUUGUUUGACAAUCAAACAAUCAAUGUGUGCAGCGAACCAGAUUGCGUCGAAUAUUCACGAAAUGCGUGUCUAAAAACGCUCGGUUGUGGCCACCCUUGCGGGGGAGUGCGUGGUGAAUCAGAAUGCCUUCCCUGUUUGUUUCGUUGUUCUGGCAGUUCAGCAAAUCUUAAGCAAGACACCGACGACAUGUGCGUGAUCUGCUUCACCGAAGCUCUGUCUGCUGCACCAGCCAUACAGCUAAGUUGCAAACACGUCUUCCAUGCCCAUUGCU